AAAUAAAAAGGUGAUGGAGUUCACCAUUAAGUGCGAAAGCUAAUGACUCCUACUCUUAA
rnacentral:ncRNA from 1 species